UACAUAGGGGGCAAGCGUUAUCCGGAAUUAUUGGGUGUAAAGGGUGCGUAGACGGAGAAACAAGUUGGUUGUGAAAUCCCUCGGCUCAACCGAGGAACUGCAACCAAAACUAUUUCCCUUGAGUGUCGGAGAGGAAAGUGGAAUUCCUAGUGUAGCGGUGAAAUGCGUAGAUAUUAGGAGGAACACCAGUGGCGAAGGCGGCUUACUGGACUGUAACUGACGUUGAGGCUCGAAAGCGUGGGGAGCAAACAGG
rnacentral:rRNA from 1 species